rnacentral:pre_miRNA from 1 species
AGUAGAAUUUCUGGGUUAUAUAGUAAGUCUAUGUUUUACAUUUUGAAGAACUGUGGACUGUUGUCCAAAGCGGCUGCACCAUUUUACAUUCCCAUCAACAAU